CGUAGCCGUAGUAGGUCAGCGCAGGGGUGACACGGAAUGGGAGCCGGCCGCGGAGGUGGUUUUCCGUGGUCAAGCACUCAGCCAGUCAUGUAGGCAAAUCCGCAUGGCGCGCAUGGCGAGGUGUGAUGAUGGGAGCCGUUAUGGCUCGAUAUCCGGUUGUCCAGGCCGUCGAGAAAAGCCUCGGCGUGAGGGCCAUGGCCGCCCGUACCCCAAACCGACACUGGUGGUCAGGUAGAGAAUACCAAGGCGAUCGAGCGAAUCCUGGUCAAGGAACUCGGCAAAUCACUCCCGUGCCUUCGGUAUAAGGGAGACCCGCUGGGGUGAACCGGCUAGCCCGGGGAGCUUUGGUGGGUGGCACAGACCAGGGGGUAGCGACUGUUUACCAAAAACACAGGUGCAUGCGAAGGCGAAAGCCGCUGUAUAUGCACUGACGCCUGCCCGGUGCCGGAAGGUUAAGAGGAUCCGUCAGUCCUUCGGGAUGAAGCGGUGAAUUCAAGCCCCGGUAAACGGCGGUGGUAACUAUAACCAUCCUAAGGUAGCGAAAUUCCUUGUCGGGUAAGUUCCGACCUGCACGAAUGGCGUAACGACUUCCCCACUGUCUCGACCAGGAGCUCGGCGAAAUUGCAGUACGAGUAAAGAUGCUCGUUAAGCGCAGAAGGACGAAAAGACCCCGGGACCUUUACUAUACCUUGGUAUUGGCGUUAGGCGCGGAUUGUGUAGCAUAGGCGGGAGGCUUCGAAGCGUGGGCGCCAGCUCAUGUGGAGCCGCAAGGUGAAAUACCGCUCUGUUCUCGUUUGACGUCUAACCUCGACAAGUCAUCCUUGUCAGGGACAGUGCCUGGCGGGUAGUUCAACUGGGGCGGUUGCCUCCCAAAGAGUAACGGAGGCGCUCAAAGGUCCGCUCAGCCCGGUUGGCAAUCGGGUGUCGAGUGUAAUCGCACAAGCGGGCUUGACUGCGAGGACGACGGUCCGAGCAGGGACGAAAGUCGGAGAUAGUGAUCCGGUGCCGGCGCACGGGCGCGGCAUCGCUCAACGGAUAAAAGGUACCCCGGGGAUAACAGGCUGAUCAUUCCCAAGAGUCCAUAUCGACGGGAUGGUUUGGCACCUCGAUGUCGGCUCGUCGCAUCCUGGGGCUGGAGCAGGUCCCAAGGGUUCGGCUGUUCGCCGAUUAAAGCGGCACGCGAGCUGGGUUCAGAACGUCAUGAGACAGUUUGGUCUCUAUCCUCUGCGCUCGUUGGAAUCCUGAGGAGGCCUGCCCAUAGUACGAGAGGACCUGGGUGGACGAACCUCUGGUAUGCCGGUUGUCGCGCCAGCGGCACGGCCGGUUGGCUACGUUCGGGAGGGAUAACCGCUGAAAGCAUCUAAGCGGGAAGCCUGCUCCAAGAUUAGGAUUCCAUGGAUCUUCGAGAUCCUGUAGCCCGCAUGUUGAACACGUGUUUGAUAGGCCGGAGGUGGAAGCCCCGUGAGGGGUGGAGCCGACCGGUACUAACGGGCGACGGU
rnacentral:rRNA from 1 species